rnacentral:rRNA from 1 species
UCUAACAUGUGCGCGAGUCAUUGGGAUUUUGUAAACCUAAAGGCGCAAUGAAAGUGAAGGUCUUCCCUUAGCGUUGACCGAGGGAGGAUGGCUCGCGUCACGAUGCGAGCCCGCACUCCCGGGGCGUCUCGUGCUCAUUGCGAGCAGAGGCGCACCCAGAGCGUACACGUUGGGACCCGAAAGAUGGUGAACUAUGCCUGGUCAGGACGAAGUCAGGGGAAACCCUGAUGGAGGUCCGUAGCGAUUCUGACGUGCAAAUCGAUCGUCGGAACUGGGUAUAGGGGCGAAAGACUAAUCGAACCAUCUAGUAGCUGGUUCCCUCCGAAGUUUCCCUCAGGAUAGCUGGCACUCGCUUGAGCGAGUCUCAUCUGGUAAAGCGAAUGAUUAGAGGCCUUGGGGCCGAAACGACCUCAACCUAUUCUCAAACUUUAAAUGGGUGAGAUCUCUGGCUUGCUUGAACGUUGAAGCCACGAGAAUAAUCAUGGAUCAGAGUGCCAAGUGGGCCAAUUU